GUGGCUCAUAGUUUUCAAAACCUACAAGGAGCUACCAGUGGAGACUGACCAAGACAUGGACACAUCCCCGCCAUUGUAGAACUUAUGGUCCAGCAGGGUGUCGAGACAAACUUUCAGGACAAUUAACUGUGGUAUUUGUCCUACUUGGGGGCUUGAAACAAGAUCAGUCAUAGAAGCAAUGACAAGAGGACACAGUUAUUUUUUGCUGGAGUAUAAAACCUUCCAGUGAGCACUCCUGGUUUUACUACCCUCCCUGCCCAUGGUUGCAUGUGGUUUGCGCUCUCCUCAACAAAUGACUUCCCCUAUUGGAAACUUCAGCAUGAAAAGAAAUGCCUGACUCUUAGGUGAAACAUGAUCCUUCUGUGGCCAUAAACUUUAAACUCAAUUUAUUACGUUGGAGAGGUUUUUGGACAAACCUGUAAGGAAAUUAUAUCACCCAAUCAUUGUUUUCUAAAGAACAGACUACAGGGAAGGAGAACUGAUCUUACAGCAGCUGCAUUUGAUUUGGUAAAGCAACUAGGAGAAAAAAUAUCCAAGACUCUAAGAGCACAACGUGUUUAGCUGUAAAAGUGUUUUUCUGAAGAUCUCAUUCUCAUCUGCUAUCAUUUGCCUGUCCAAGGCCAAGGCGUUUAUAGAUCAUACAUGUACCGUUUCCAAAAUGUAUAUGUAGACUCACUAGAAUGCUAAGACCAAAAGUAAGUGGUUCACUAUAAAAGACACAUUUUACAGUCAUGAACAGUCGGCUUUGGGAAAGAAAACCCUACAAACAUACGUGCUGGAAUUAAAUUUCAAGACUCCAUGAAGGCAAGGAAAGGGUAGAAUUUUAAGGCUGGAAAGGAUCAUUCGGUUGAAAUCUCUUGUUGAUACACAAAGAAUUUGAAAUCCAGAGAAGUCAGUGACUUACAUGAGGUCACCCAGUUAGGUUGUGUUCUGGCUAAGUCAGGUUGUCAGAACGCUGGUCCCCAAACCUCCUCCUCUAACACUAUUGUGGUCUCUUAAAUUUCUGGUCCUGUUUGGGACAUGAACAUGCCCAAUUGUAAUGUAACCUAAGACUCUUAAUGACAAUGACAAGUGCUCUGUAUAGAUGAUGUGUGAAUGGCACUUCCUGACUUUGAUGGAGUUUAAUGCAUUAUUUAAAUUAGUCAUAGAGGAAGAGGGUUUGUGUGUGUGUGUGUGUAUAACUGCUUUGCGGAUCUCUCUCUAUCUCAGAAAGGGAAUUGGACUAACCAUGACUGUUCCAGCCAACCAGGAAAUGAAUGAAGCUCAACCAGAGAAAUCAAGGAUGCUGUGAUUUGGCCAA